CAUGUCUCUACUAGAGUAAUGGGUACCUUUGGUUAUGCUGCUCCCGAGUAUAUGGCCACAGGUCAUAUAACCACUAGAAGUGACGUAUAUAGUUUCGGGGUUGUUCUUCUAGAAAUGCUGACAGGUCGUCGAGUGAUGGACAAAAACCGACCCCACGGGGAACAUAAUCUGAUUGAAUGGGCUAAACCUUUCCUUACUAGUAAACGUAAAGUCCUCCAUAUUAUGGAUCACCGUAUAGAAGGUCAGUACUCAGUGGAAGGAGCACUGAGAGCAGCACUUCUUGCAGUCAAAUGCCUGGCAUUAGAACCCAAAUUCAGGCCUAAAAUGCCCGAGGUCGUAAAGGCAUUGGAGCAACUUCAGAACUUG
rnacentral:misc_RNA from 1 species